rnacentral:rRNA from 1 species
AGAGCGAACGCUGGCGGCAGGCCUAACACAUGCAAGUCGAACGGACUCUUCGGAGUUAGUGGCGGACGGGUGAGUAACACGUGGGAACGUGCCUUUUGGUUCGGAAUAGCUCCUGGAAACGGGUGGUAAUGCCGAAUGUGCCCUUCGGGGGAAAGAUUUAUCGCCAUUAGAGCGGCCCGCGUCUGAUUAGCUAGUUGGUGAGGUAAAGGCUCACCAAGGCUACGAUCAGUAGCUGGUCUGAGAGGAUGACCAGCCACAUUGGGACUGAGACACGGCCCAGACUCCUACGGGAGGCAGCAGUGGGGAAUCUGCGCAAUGCGCGAAAGCGUGACGCAGCAACGCCGCGUGGGUGAAGAAGGCUUUCGGGUCGUAAAACCCUUUCAGCGGGACGAAGCUUCGGCAGCGAAUAGCUGUCCGGAGCCGACGGUACCCGCGAGAAGAACGCCCCGGACUAACUACGUGCCAGCAAGCCGC